CGUCAAAUCAUCAUGCCCCUUAUAACUUGGGCUACACACGUGCUACAAUGGCUGCAACAAAGUGAAGCAAUCCGGCGACGGUGAGCAAAACACAAAAAAGCAGUCUCAGUUCGGAUUGUAGUCUGCAACCCGACUACAUGAAGUUGGAAUCGCUAGUAAUCGCAAAUCAGCAUGUUGCGGUGAAUACGUUCUCGGGCCUU
rnacentral:rRNA from 1 species